UCCUUAGCUUUCUACCUUUAGCCUCCAAG
rnacentral:piRNA from 1 species